GCUGGGGUAGCUCAGCCUGGUUAGAGCGCCGGACUCAUAAUCCGGAGGUCGCGGGUUCAAAGCUGAUAGUGAAAAUCCCGCCCCCAGCA
rnacentral:tRNA from 1 species